rnacentral:sRNA from 2 species
AAAAAUGUGAUCUAGGGUUCCGAUACGCACGCGUAUGUCUGAGACCGAGAGUUCACGGUUCGAAAGAACUACACGGAGGGAUAAAAGCCCGGGAGGU